rnacentral:rRNA from 1 species
UGGGGUAUAUUGCACAAUGGGGGAAACCCUGAUGCAGCGACGCCGCGUGAACGAAGAAGGUAUUCGUAUCGUAAAGUUCUGUCCUAUGGGAAGAUAAUGACAGUACCAUAGAAGAAAGCUCCGGCUAAAUACGUGCCAGCAGCCGCGGUAAUACGUAUGGAGCGAGCGUUGUCCGGAAUUAUUGGGCGUAAAGGGUACGCAGGCGGUUUAAUAAGUCGAAUGUUAAAGAUCGGGGCUCAACCCCGUAAAGCAUUGGAAACUGAUAAACUUGAGUAGUGGAGAGGAAAGUGGAAUUCCUAGUGUAGUGGUGAAAUACGUAGAUAUUAGGAGGAGUACCAGUAGCGAAGGCGACUUUCUGGACACAAACUGACGCUGAGGUACGAAAGCGUGGGGAGCAAACAGG